GACGAGUGGUCCUAGCGUUAGUCGGAAUUACUGGGCGUAAAGGGCUCGUAGGCGGCCAACUAAGUCAGACGUGAAAUCCCUCGGCUUAACCGGGGAACUGCGUCUGAUACUGGUUGGCUUGAAUCCGGGAGAGGGAUGUGGAAUUCCAGGUGUAGCGGUGAAAUGCGUAGAUAUCUGGAGGAACACCGGUGGCGAAGGCGGCAUCCUGGACCGGUAUUGACGCUGAGGAGCGAAAGCCAGGGGAGCAAACGGG
rnacentral:rRNA from 1 species